rnacentral:lncRNA from 1 species
CCAGUCUCACCAUCAUCAUCCCCAUCUUCCUCCCCUUGUUCAUGACCAUCAAUCUCACCUUCUGUGCUGGUCAACCUCCCCGUACUCUCUGGCUCCCCAAACUCCCCAUCUCUAUCCUCAUUAUCAACCUCUUCUUCGUCCUCAUCGUCAUCAUCAUCGCCAUCAUCAUCCUCGUCCUCAACCCCAUCCUCCUCAUCAUCGCUGUCCCCACCAACCCCAUGAACUUCCACCACAUCCUCUUCCUCAUAAACAUCAUCCUCAUCAUCAUCCUCGUCAUCAUCUUCUACCGCAUACCCAUUGCUCUGAUGGCCAUUUAUCCCCUCGGCAGCGGGUCCUGCUGCUCCAGCAGCUGUCUCCACCUCUU